CAAUAGCGUAUAUUAAAGUUGUUGCAGUUAAAAAGCUCGUAGUUGGAUUUGUGGCGUACGGUGUGUUCCGGGCACUUGUUGUCUGAGUAACCUGCUGUUGCCAUCCUUGGGUGGAACCUGUGUGGCAUUAGGUUGUCGUGCAGGGGAUGCCCAUCAUUUACUGUGAAAAAAUUAGAGUGUUCAAAGCAGGCUUAUGCCGUUGAAUAUAUUAGCAUGGAAUAAUGAGAUAGGACUUUUUUGCUAUUUUGUUGGUUUGCGCAAAGAGGUAAUGAUUAAUAGGGACAGUUGGGGGUAGUCGUAUUCCAUUGUCAGAGGUGAAAUUCUUGGAUUUUUGGAAGACGAACUACUGCGAAAGCAUUUACCAAGGAUGUUUUCAUUAA
rnacentral:rRNA from 1 species